rnacentral:rRNA from 1 species
ACGGGAGGCAGCAGUGGGGAAUAUUGGGCAAUGGACGAAAGUCUGACCCAGCGACGCCGCGUGAGGGAAGAAGGUCUUCGGAUUGUAAACCUCUUUCAGCAGGGAAGAAGAAAGUGACGGUACCUGCAGAAGAAGUCACGGCUAACUACGUGCCAGCAGCCGCGGUAAUACGUAGGUGGCGAGCGUUAUCCGGAUUUACUGGGUGUAAAGGGCGCGUAGGCGGGGAUGCAAGUCAGAUGUGAAAUCUAUGGGCUUAACUCAUAAACUGCAUUUGAAACUGUAUCUCUUGAGUGCUGGAGAGGUAGAUGGAAUUCCUUGUGUAGCGGUGAAAUGCGUAGAUAUAAGGAAGAACACCAGUGGCGAAGGCGAUCUACUGGACAGUAACUGACGCUGAGGCGCGAAAGCGUGGGGAGCAAACAGGAUUAGAUACCCUGGUA